AUUUUGCCGUUGUGUUUUCUCCGCCUUCUCGAACCCUAAAGCCUUUUUCUUUCCCUCUCCCAUAUGAUCUCUUCACACUGCCGAAACCUACAUCUCCAUCCAAUCCCUCUCCAAUGAAACCUUCUCCAUGAACCUCUCCUCCUAACUCCUCUCUGUCUAACCCCUCUAUGUCGAAUCCCUCUACCGCUGAAUAUCUCCGUCGAUCCUGCUAAACAUCUCUGCCAAACCACCCAUCUUCAUUCCCUCUUCGGAUGAAUCCACAAUUACACUAAUAUACCUCAAGCAUGGCUGGAAAAGGUCUAUCUUUAUAUUUGAUAUGGUUCCUGCAGCUGUGGUCCUCGAGGUUCUCUCCAAAUCGAAGCACCAAAGUUGUGCCAGGGGCUCCGAUUAUGAUAAUCUUACUGCGAGAAGAAGAUUGUCCUUAACUUGGCAGUUCCUAGUGGAUCGAUAGUGAAGCCCCAUCUGUUCUUUUUGCUUUCCUCGUCAUAAUUUCUUCGUCACAUUUCUCGCGAUGAACCCUAAUUUGUGGUUGUGGGUUGGGACACUCUUCGUCUUGUUUCAGGUACUUGUACUAGGUGGCCAUGGUUUCAUUGGUUUACAUGUUUGCAAAGAGGCUUUGGAUCAAGGGUUAUCAGUUUCUAGUCUCAGCAGGUCUGGAAGAUCAUCAAUACGUGAACAAUGGGUUGAUAAAGUUGAGUGGUGCCAAGGUUGAAAAUUAAGAGAAUGCUCUUUCCCUGUGAAGGAAAAACAUAUAGUUCAGCUUUUUGUGGCUAAUCCUUCUAUUUGGCAGGAAGCCUUCUUGAAAUUCCGGUGACUUUUGUGGUGGUCCAAAAAUGUAAUCACACUAGACUGUUUGCUAACAAUCAUGGUGACCACCGAUUUGUUGAUAAGAGUGGAAACACCACCGAUUUGUUGAUAAGAGUGGAAACAUAUUGCUUGGUUAGUUUAGUUGAUAGCAUGGAUACAUCAUUUUCAAGACAAUUCUAUUUUAUAUAUUUUUUUCAAACCUUGUUUUCUCAA